UACGGAAGAUCCAAGCGUUAUCCGGAAUUACUGGGCGUAAAGAGUUGCGUAGGUGGCAUAGUAAGUAGAUAGUGAAAUGACGUGGCUCAACCAUGUGUCCAUUAUCUAAACUGCUAAGCUAGAGGGCGAGAGAGGUUACUAGAAUUCCUAGUGUAGGAGUGAAAUCCGUAGAUAUUAGGAGGAAUACCGAUGGCGUAGGCAGGUAACUGGCUCGUCCCUGACACUAAGGCACGAAAGCGUGGGGAGCGACCGGG
rnacentral:rRNA from 1 species